rnacentral:rRNA from 1 species
AUUGAACGCUGGCAGCAGGCCUAACACACGCAAGUCGAGCGGAUGAAGGGAGCUUGCUCCUGGAUUCAGCGGCGGACGGGUGAGUAAUGCCUAGGAAUCUGCCUGGUAGUGGGGGAUAACGUCCGGAAACGGGCGCUAAUACCGCAUACGUCCUGAGGGAGAAAGUGGGGGAUCUUCGGACCUCACGCUAUCAGAUGAGCCUAGGUCGGAUUAGCUAGUUGGUGGGGUAAAGGCCUACCAAGGCGACGAUCCGUAACUGGUCUGAGAGGAUGAUCAGUCACACUGGAACUGAGACACGGUCCAGACUCCUACGGGAGGCAGCAGUGGGGAAUAUUGGACAAUGGGCGAAAGCCUGAUCCAGCCAUGCCGCGUGUGUGAAGAAGGUCUUCGGAUUGUAAAGCACUUUAAGUUGGGAGGAAGGGCAGUAAGUUAAUACCUUGCUGUUUUGACGUUACCAACAGAAUAAGCACCGGCUAACUUCGUG